rnacentral:rRNA from 1 species
UACGUAGGGUGCAAGCGUUGUCCGGAUUUAUUGGGCGUAAAGAGCUCGUAGGCGGUCUGUCGCGUCGGCUGUGAAAACUCGGGGCUCAACCCCGAGCCUGCAGUCGAUACGGGCAGACUAGAGUGCUGUAGGGGAGACUGGAAUUCCUGGUGUAGCGGUGAAAUGCGCAGAUAUCAGGAGGAACACCGGUGGCGAAGGCGGGUCUCUGGGCAGUAACUGACGCUGAGGAGCGAAAGCGUGGGGAGCGAACAGG